rnacentral:lncRNA from 10 species
CUGGCCUGGGGGGUCCUUGGGUCACCUUAGAGGGCAGAGAUCCUGAGUGCAGUUGGGCAGAGUGAGGUAUUGAUAGGAACACUAAGGAUAGUACUAACAGUCAUCAUUUACACCUCGUGUGUGCCAGGAAGGGGCCAGGUCCCACAUGAUCUCAGUUCAUCUUUACAACACCCUGAAGGAUGGUCUUGUUAUCUUCUCCAUUUUGCAGAUGAGGAAACUGAGGCUGAGAGGGUAGAGAACUUUGCCUGAGGUCACUCAGCAGGGACCCACCCAUCACAGUAAAUGCCAGCACUGCUGAUGCCAAAACAAUGUUAUUUGUAGGCCCUCGGAAUUUGUGACCUGAAGGAAGAAGAGCAGGGCCGUGGGAAGUAUGUAACCAGUGUCAUGCCCCUGGUCCCAAGGAAGCAGUGGCUUGGCCUGAACACCCUGUCCUACCUGGUCCUACCUGGAUGCUGGCCUCAGUAAGCUCCUGGGCUCAUUGAAGAUGAACCUAGCAGUAGUAUUUACACCACUUGUUGUGUGCCCACUGUGGGCCCGGCGCCAUGCCGAGUGCUCUAUGGAUGUGAGAGAAACGGAGGCCCAGAAAGCAGAAAUGAUGUGUUAAGAUCACUCAUCAAGCUGAUGGUACAGAGAUGAGAACACUGAAGCAGUUUUUUCUAAAGAUAGCUGCCUGGCACAGUGGCUCACAUCUGUAGUCCCAGCAUUUGGGGAGGCCAAGGCAGGUGGAUCACUUGAGGCCAGGAAUUCAAGACCAGCAUGGCCAACAUGGUAAAACCCCAUCCCUACUAAAAAUACAAAAAUUAGCUGGGCGUGGUGGCACCUGUAAUCCCAACUACUCAGGAGGCUGAGGCAGGAGAAUUGCUUGAACCCAGAGGCGGAGGUUGCAGUGAGCCAAGAUCACGCCACUGCACUCCAGCCUGGGCAACAGAGCAAGACUCCGUCUUGGGGAAAAAAAUGCAAAAAUUAGCCAGGCAUGAUAGUGGGCACAUGUAAUCCCAGCUACUUGGGAGGCUGAGGCAGGAGAAUCGCUUGAACCUGGGAGGCAUAGGUUGCAGUGAGCCAAGAUUGCGAUUGCACCACUGCACUCCAGCCUGAGUGACAGAGCAAGACUCCAUCUCAAAAAAAAAAAAAAAGCCAAAGAAUAUAUAUUAGGUUGGUGCAAAAGUAAUUGCAGUUUUUGCCAAUACAAGUAGUUUACAGAAAGAGAAAUAUCAGUGGCCCAUAAACAUGUAGAAAGAUGUUUAAUAGCACUCAUAAUUCAAGAAAUGCAAAAUAAAACUAAAAUUAAACAUCACUUUUUCACCUUUCUGCUUGGCAAAAAUGAAAACAUUUGCCAAUACUCAGGGAUGGUGAGAAAAACUACUUAUAUAACUUAUAUAACUGUUCCUCUGUAGAUUCUGAGUUCUAUCCUAGUAACAGUUCAUGUCACCAAAAAACUACACAUUAGAACCACCUUAGCUUAGCUGCCCAGGAAAAAUGCCUUCAGCCAAGUUCCAUUUUAAUGUUAUACGCUUGGCAUCUCUUGAUGGUUGGCAGAAGAAAUGACCACAUGAAAAGCUGCAUUUUUUUGUCCUGGAAAAACCACCACUAAAGGCAUUGUAAUCUACAUUGAGUAUAUAAGGAAGGGCCCACACAAUAAAUUAUCUGCAGUAUUUACUACCAGGAAAGAUUUACUUUCUCCUGAAGACCUGAUGUGUUAUUUUGCCAUACGAUGGUAAUCAUAUAAACCUCUGUUUCUCGUUUCUCCUUGGCUGCUAAGAAGCUCAAAAAUCACAUCUGAUGAUCCACUCUAGUGACAACAUAGCCAGGGCGAUUGGCAUCUGACUUCUCAACCCAACCUGACCUCAUAUUAGCUUUUUUCUUUUGUCUCCUCUCCCCUUCCAUUAGUUUCUCUUCUUCCACUUGCUGUUUAGUUUUCUAAUUCUAGCUUAACAAAAUUAUUAUAAAUGUGUGUUUUUGGAAGCUAUUUCAAAAUCUUUUGGAAGUAGAUAGGAUAUGUUACAAAUAGUCAAACUCCCUUAGUUUAUAGAUGAGAAAACUCAAGUUCUUUAGAAGUUAAAUGACUUAUUCCAGUGUUAAUCAGCUUAUAUCUGUGUGCACAUGUGACUCUCACUUUAUUGUAAGUGUCUUAGAAUUAUAUUUAUCUCUGAGACUCUGGUGGCCAGCUUUGAGCCAAGUACAUGGUAAAUUGUCAAUGUAUAUAUAUUGGUUGAAAAAAUUCUAAGUGCUGUGAGGAAAGGGACAUUUUUGCAGGGGAUAAGGUCGUAGUAGGUGCUCAUGAGAACUGAAUUCACAACAGGGCGUGGCCUCAGCCUCUGGCCUCACCCCACCACACCCUAGCAUCUCCACCACCCAGGAGUCUCAGGGCUGGGCUUCAUGCAACCCAUCUGCCCUACACCUGCCCGCACUCUGCCUUUGUCUCCACUAUUCCACUUUGGCCCUCUUGCCUUGUCCAGUGAGUUUCCAAAUAUUUCUCUUUUUUUUUGAGACGGAGUCUUGCUCUGUCACCCAGGCUGGAGUGCAGUGUUGCGAUCUCGGCUCACUGCAAGUUCCACCUCCUGGGUUCAAGUGAUUCUCCUGCCUCAGCCUCCAGAGAAGCUGGGACUACAGGUGCCCGCCAUCAUGCCCGGCUAAUUUUUUUUGUAUUUUUAGUAGAGACGGGGGUUUCACUGUGUUAACCAGGAUGGUCUCGAUCUCCUGACCUCGUGAUCUACCCGCCUCAGCCUCCGAAAGUGCUGGGAUUAGAGGUGUGAGCCACCGUACCCAGCUGAGUUUCCAAAUAUUUCUGAUUUCACCAGCGGGGGAAGACUGGCAGGCUCCUAUAUCCUCGAAGUAUCCUGCCAUGAGAUGCCUGCAGAGUGGGGAAUGGCAUCACCUUUCCAACCCUGUGCAGCACCCAGUGCGAGCUGCUUAUUAGUGGGAACUGGAGAGGAAGAGGAGGAAAAGGAGGACCCAUGGCCAUGGCUUUUUCUGUCCUUGUAACCCUCAACUGAUAUGUAUCCCAUACUUCUUGGUUGGGCAGAGGGGAGAGCAGAGGUUGACAGGUCACAUUUCCCUCAGUUUUCCAUCCUUCCUUCAGUGCUGGGAGAGAAAAGCAUACGACAUAGACAGGGAGGUCAAGCUCCACCACGCAGAUGAGGUGCAGGCCACCAGUCUUCCUCUGCCACAUCUCUUUCUGAAAAGCCACAGGGUGCCUCAGGCUUGGAGCAUCCCGGAGCCAGUUACAACCCAAGACUUCAGCCUUCUGGAAGGUGUUGGGUCAGCCACCCUGAAGGACGAUCCUGCCCAAGUGACAUGCUUUGCUCUUCCUUCUCACCCAGGACUUCACAUUCACCCUUGCAAUCCAUGUGGGGACACUGUUGGAUAGGAGGCGUGGUCCCAGCGUGGUCUCCCUGUCUGGGCCUCUGCCUAUGCCAAAUGUUUGCCUUACGCUGCACACUCAAGAGGUUCCAUGUAUACAGAUGGGAAUUCCAGAGCUACAGAAAAGGCAGCAAGCACCAUGAUUUAAGCUAACCAGUGUGGAUUCACACCUUCCUCUCUCUCUAUCAGUGGCAGAACUACCAGCUAGAGUAAGAAGUGGUUGAUCCAGGACCUAAACAUUCUGGAAACUCUUGCCCACUUCUGGGAGAAAUGACCCAAUCCAUAGUACUAAGCACACCUUAACUUUCGUAGGACGCAGGCAAGUUGUCAUACCGUGUGCCUAAAUAUAGAAAAAUGAUCCACUGGACUAAUAAAGUGUUAAAUAAAAUAUGUCCUGACUGUCUACUUUGACAACAUACUUUCAUAAUGACAAAACUUAAAAAUGUAUAAAGCUAUGGUUUUUAUAUAGUUGAAAAUUGACAAAACAGAAGACUAAAUUUACUUAUUAUUGCACAUGAUGGGCGGGCUAUGUUUGGUUGAG